GUGGGUGUCUCAGGAGAUCAUUAUCUGGCUGGAAGAACUUUAAGAAGGAUGUCUAUGGCACAGAUCUAAGGAGCUCACAAAAUUCAAAGCGAAGUGUUUGGAUCUCUAUUGGAAAAAUUUUGACAAAUGCUGCAAAAUGCAGAGGCAAGAAUUACAAAGGUCUCAUUUUUCAGCUUCCCCUACUCCCCUGCAGAGCUUCCAUUGAUUUCAAAGACUCGCCAGGCUUGGAUCAGCUCUGUGGGGUGUGGACCCUGCCUAGGUAUGGACCAAAGGCAGGCAAAAAAGAAAGGCUGAACAAGGGAAAGGAAAGUUCGAUCUUUGAUCCAUGUGGCAUUUAUUUUUCUGUGUGCUGUGGCGUGGGGACCUGCUUAAGAUUUUUUAUCCAGAUUCCACAGGAAUGUCACAUUUGGCAGAUCUGAAACUU
rnacentral:lncRNA from 1 species